rnacentral:rRNA from 1 species
UACGUAGGGAGCAAGCGUUGUCCGGAAUCAUUGGGCGUAAAGAGCGUGUAGGCGGUCCGGUAAGUCCGCUGUGAAAGUCGGGGGCUCAACCCUCGAAUGCCGGUGGAUACUGUCGGGCUAGAGUGCGGAAGAGGCGAGUGGAAUUCCUGGUGUAGCGGUGAAAUGCGCAGAUAUCAGGAGGAACACCGAUGGCGAAGGCAGCUCGCUGGGACGGUACUGACGCUGAGACGCGAAAGCGUGGGGAGCAAACAGG